ACCUCUGUUGUGAUUCCACCUACCCCCCAGACAGGGGCAAUCCAGGAUAAAGAGAAGACGGUGCCAGAGUCAUGCCAGCCGGGAUUGUUCUCUCGCCCCGGAUUCACUACAGAACUAAGAGUCCCCCAUGCUGGUCCUCUCAGGCCAUCUGGAGUUGGGAAAAGCAGACGGAAGCAAGGCCAGGCCCCCUGUCGACGAUGCACCCUUCCCGUGGCUGCCAGAAAAUCUCUCGAGGUGGAAAUCUGCUCACAUAUCUCCCUGCCCACCGUCCACCAUGGGCUCCUGCCUGCCUGGGGGGAAAAAACCCCUGUCCUUAUCUGGGUGAACCAGGGCCCUCCAUACUCUGUCCUGCCCGGAAGCACAUUUCUCUCCCUCCCCUCCAGUCUUACAGCCCAAGCCCCGUCACGCCAACCUUCUCUGCCUUCGGGGAACGCAGUAUAUCCUUCCCAAACUUCUCCCUUUGCACAUGCUGUGCCCUCUUUCUGGAAUGCCCUUCCCUUCUGCCUUGGGCAAGGGCAGAGGUGGCGGGGAGGAGGUUUGGAUAUCCCAUGGAGUUUGGGCUGGAUCCUUUUGCCUGGUGA
rnacentral:lncRNA from 1 species